CUUAAUUGCGAUUACGAACGAGACCUUAACCUGCUAAAUAGCCCGUAUUGCUUUGGCAGUACGCUGGCUUCUUAGAGGGACUAUCGGCACAAGCCGAUGGAAGUUUGAGGCAAUAACAGGUCUGUGAUGCCCUUAGAUGUGCUGGGCCGCACGCGCGCUACACUGACGGAGCCAGCGAGUUCUCCCUUGACCGGAAGGUCCGGGUAAUCUUGUUAAACUCCGUCGUGCUGGGGAUAGGGCAUUGCAAUG
rnacentral:rRNA from 1 species